rnacentral:rRNA from 1 species
UCAGGAUGAACGCUGGCGGCGUGCCUAACACAUGCAAGUCGAGCGCCCCGGUUUACCGGGGAGCGGCAAACGGGUGAGUAACGCGUAAGCAACCUACCUCAAAGACUGGCACAACUAGUCGAAAGAUUGGCUAAUUCCAGAUGUGUCCCCGAUGACAUAUGUUAUCGGGGGUAAAACUCCGCCUUUGGCGGAGGCUUUGAGACGGGCUUGCGUCCUAUCAGCUUGUUGGCGGGGUAACGGCCCACCAAGGCGAUGACGGGUAGCUGGUCUGAGAGGACGACCAGUCACAAGGGAACUGAGACACGGUCCCUACUCCUACGGGAGGCAGCGGUGAGGAAUUUUCCGCAAUGGGCGAAAGCCUGACGGAGCGACGCCGUGUGUGCGACGAAGUCCUUCGGGAUGUAAAGCACUGUCAGCAGGGAAGAUAUUGACGGUACCUGCAGAGGAAGGCCCGGCUAACUACGUGCCAGCAGCCGCGGUAAUACGUAGGGGCCAAGCGUUGUCCGGAAUCAUUGGGCGUAAAGGGCGCGUAGGCGGCUUUUUAAGUCGGAUGUUAAAUCUGCAGGCUCAACCUGCAGCCGCAUCCGAUACUGAUUGGAUGGAGAAUGGUAGAGGAAAGCGGAACUUUCGGUGUAGCGGUGAAAUGCGUAGAUAUCGAAAGGAACACCCGUGGCGAAGGCGGCUUUCUGGGCCAUUUCUGACGCUGAAGCGCGAAAGCCAGGGGAGCAAACGGGAUUAGAUACCCCGGUAGUCCUGGCCGUAAACGAUGUUCAUUGGGUGUUAAAGGUAUCGACCCCUUUGGUGCCGAAGCUAACGCGUUAAAUGAACCGCCUGGGGAUUACGACCGCAAGGUUAAAACUCAAAAGAAUUGACGGGGGCCCGCACAGCGGUGGAGCGUGUGGUUUAAUUCGAUG